rnacentral:rRNA from 1 species
UGAUCCUGGCUCGGGAUGAACGCUAGCUACAGGCUUAACACAUGCAAGUCGAGGGGCAGCAUGAAAGGAACUUCGGUUCUUUUUGAUGGCGACCGGCGCACGGGUGCGUAACGCGUAUCGAACCUGCCUCAUACUCGGGGAUAGCCUUGCGAAGUAAGAUUAAUACCCGGCGGUCUCGGAUGGCCGCAUGACUAUCCGAGUGAAGAUUUAUCGGUAUGAGAUGGCGAUGCGUCCCAUUAG